rnacentral:rRNA from 1 species
GCUGACGAGUGGCGGACGGGUGAGUAAUGUCUGGGAAACUGCCUGAUGGAGGGGGAUAACUACUGGAAACGGUAGCUAAUACCGCAUAACGUCGCAAGACCAAAGAGGGGGACCUUCGGGCCUCUUGCCAUCAGAUGUGCCCAGAUGGGAUUAGCUUGUUGGUGGGGUAACGGCUCACCAAGGCGACGAUCCCUAGCUGGUCUGAGAGGAUGACCAGCCACACUGGAACUGAGACACGGUCCAGACUCCUACGGGAGGCAGCAGUGGGGAAUAUUGCACAAUGGGCGCAAGCCUGAUGCAGCCAUGCCGCGUGUAUGAAGAAGGCCUUCGGGUUGUAAAGUACUUUCAGCGGGGAGGAAGGUGUUGUGGUUAAUAACCGCAGCAAUUGACGUUACCCGCAGAAGAAGCACCGGCUAACUCCGUGCCAGCAGCCGCGGUAAUACGGAGGGUGCAAGCGUUAAUCGGAAUUACUGGGCGUAAAGCGCACGCAGGCGGUCUGUUAAGUCAGAUGUGAAAUCCCCGGGCUCAACCUGGGAACUGCAUCUGAUACUGGCAGGCUUGAGUCUCGUAGAGGGGGGUAGAAUUCCAGG